UACGUAGGGGGCAAGCGUUGUCCGGAUUUACUGGGCGUAAAGAGCGUGUAGGCGGCCAAACAGGUCCGUUGUGAAAACUGGAGGCUCAACUUCCAGACGUCGACGGAAACCGUGUGGCUAGAGUCCGGAAGAGGAGAGUGGAAUUCCGUGGUGUAGCGGUGAAAUGCGCAGAUAUCAGGAAGAACACCAAUGGCGAAGGCAGCUCUCUGGGACGGUACUGACGCUGAGACGCGAAAGCGUGGGGAGCGAACAGG
rnacentral:rRNA from 1 species